GAUGAACGCUGGCGGCGUGCCUAAUACAUGCAAGUCGAGCGAACGGACGAGAAGGUUGCUUCUAUGAUGUUAGCGGCGGACGGGGGAGUAACACGUGGAUAACCUACCUAUAAGACUGGGAUAAAUUCGGGAAACCGGAGCUAAAACCGGAUAAUAUUUUGAACCGCAUGGUUCAAAAGUGAAAGACGUUCUUGCUGUCACUUAUAGAUGGAUCCGCGCUGCAUUAGCUAGUUGGUAAGGUAACGGCUUACCAAGGCAACGAUGCGUAGCCGACCUGAGAGGGUGAUCGGCCACACUGGAACUGAGACACGGUCCAGACUCCUACGGGAGGCAGCAGUAGGGAAUCUUCCGCAAUGGGCGAAAGCCUGACGGAGCAACGCCGCGUGAGUGAUGAAGGUCUUCGGAUCGUAAAACUCUGUUAUUAGGGAAGAACAUAUGUGUAAGUAACUGUGCACAUCUUGACGGUACCUAAUCAGAAAGCCCCGGCUAACUACGUG
rnacentral:rRNA from 1 species